CGUCAAAUCAUCAUGCCCCUUAUGACCUGGGCUACACACGUGCUACAAUGGCCGAUACAAACCGUUGCAAUCUCGCGAGAGUGAGCUAAUCGGAGAAAGUCGGUCUCAGUUCGGAUUGCAGGCUGCAACUCGCCUGCAUGAAGUUGGAAUCGCUAGUAAUCGCGGAUCAGCAUGCCGCGGUGAAUACGUUCCCGGGCCUU
rnacentral:rRNA from 1 species